rnacentral:rRNA from 1 species
GACGAACGCUGGCGGCGUGCCUAACACAUGCAAGUCGAACGGAAAGGCCCGGCUCUUGUGGCGCGCUCGAGAGGCGCACGCGGGAGUAACACGCGAGUAACCCGCCCUUGACUUUGGGAUAACACCAGGAAACUGCGGCUCAUAUCGCAUAGGAGAUAUUGCAGCAUGGUGGUGGUUGGAAAGUUUCGGUGGUUCGGGAUCGUCUCGCGGGUUAUCCGCCUGUUGGUGUAGUAGUGGAUUACGAAGGCUUUGACGGGUAGCCUGCCUUGGAGGGGUACCGGCGACAUUGGUACUGAGAGACGGCCCAGUCUGCUACGGGAGGCAGUAGGGGAGAAUAUUGCAGAACAGGCGGAAGUCUGAUGCAGAGGCGUCGCGUUCGUAAUGCUGUCUUUCGAGGUGUAAACCGCUGUGGCCUGUGACGUAGCGGGAGUGACGGUAAUUGGUAAGGAAGCACCGGCUAACUACGUG